rfam:Rattus norvegicus chromosome 3, whole genome shotgun sequence.
GGGGAUUUAGCUCAGUGGUAAAGCAUUUGCCUAGGAAGCACAAGGCCCUGGGUUCGGUCCCCAGCUCCG